rnacentral:tRNA from 1 species
ACCUGGGUGGCUCAGUCGGUUGAGUGUCUGACUUCGGCUCAGGUCAUGAUCUCACAGUUUGUGAGUUCGAGCCCCACGUCAGGCU